ensembl:snRNA U6 U6 spliceosomal RNA
GUGCUCGCUUGGGCAGCACAUAGACUAAAAUUGGAACGAUACAGAGAUUAGCAUGGCCCCUGUGCAAGGAUGACAUGCAAAUUCAUGAUGCGUUCCAUAUUUUU